ACUCCUACGGGAGGCAGCAGUGGGGAAUAUUGCACAAUGGGGGAAACCCUGAUGCAGCCAUGCCGCGUGUGUGAAGAAGGCCUUGGGUUGUAAAGCACUUUCAGUAGGGAGGAAGGUAGUGUAGUUAACACCUGCAUUAUUUGACGUUACCUACAGAAGAAGCACCGGCUAACUCCGUGCCAGCAGCCGCGGGUAAUACGGAGGGUGCGAGCGUUAAUCGGAAUUACUGGGCGUAAAGCGCAUGCAGGCGGCCUGUUAAGUCAGAUGUGAAAGCCCGGGGCUUAACCUCGGAAUUGCAUUUGAAACUGGCAGGCUAGAGUCUUGGUAGAGGGGUUAGAAUUUCAGGUGUAGCGGUGAAAUGCGUAGAGAUCUGAAGGAAUACCAGUGGCGAAGGCGGCCCCUGGACAAAGACUGACGCUCAGAUGCGAAAGCGUGGGAGCAAACAGGAUUAGAUACCCCGUGGUAGACUGUCA
rnacentral:rRNA from 1 species